CUCUAAACCAACAGCCCUAACCAAACGACCUCUUCAACCAUCGCCGCCACCCUACCCCCCAUCACGUCACUUCCGUCACCUCACCACCACCACGCCCAUCAGACCACGAAACCAAACACCCCACUCUCUCUUUAACCAAAAACCCUUAAUUUCGUUGGUUUGAAGCCACAGCCGCCUCCACUGCUACCACGUCUCCUGUCCUUUUGAUUGACAUGGUGGUAGAGCCGAAAAGAGCCAAUAUAGGUCGUUUCAACCUCUGUAGAAGAGGAGUGCAAUGAACCGUCAGUUUCAAGCUCGAACUCUCCUUCGAUUCAGUGGGUAAUGGAGUAAUCUACCAUGUAUUCGACCCCAACGGCUCUUCUCCUCUCAAAUCGAACUGAAAAUGUGAGAUUUUUCACCCCCUUUUCUUGAUAUUAUCCAUAAAAAUCUUUUUUCCAGAACUCCCCAUCAAAAAACGUCACCUUUUCCCCCUCUUUUUUGAAUUUUGAAUUUUUCAUCCUCUUGAAGAAUCUGAUGAAAUCCCCUCAGUGUUUGCCUAUAAAUACGGCCUUCCUGGGCUGUUUUAGAAAAGUUUUUUGAAGGCUGAAAAUUCCCUUUGAACUAGGCUGAGAAUUGGAGAGAAAAUUUUAAUUUACUUUAAAGUUGAAUUGGAGAAUCCCUUUCGUUUUCAUAAGUCUUCAUAACUAUAAAAUCCGUAGUUCUUUCUAAGUUCUCAGAAAAAAUCCUGUUUUAACUCUAAGUUCUUUUGGCUGUAUAAUUUUGGUUGUUCUCGGCUAAGCAAGGAUUGCUUUAAGCGGAUUCGGAGACUCGACGACGAUAAUAGCCUCAGUUCGCUGUCACGGAGAAGGUAGACAGGGAGGAGAGCUCGACCCAGAUCCGUAGUAGCUGUCAGCCGAUUGAAAGCACUCCUUUGUUCCGGAGGUGCUUGAUUAUUCUUUUGUGUAUAUUCAUGUAUAUGUAUUUUUGGGCAUGACGGGGUCUUGUCCCGUCCUUGUGUUUAGCACUUCAGUAGAGGCUCGUAGAUAUGCAGUGUGGGUUAGAUGGUCUCACGAGAUGCUAUUAUGUAUAUAUAUUAUUUUGAUGACCGAGAGGCAUAUGUAUAUAAAAGUAUUUAUGUUUCCUAUGA